AUCGAACGCUAGCGGCAUGCCUUACACAUGCAAGUCGAACGGAGUGGCGAACGGGUGAGUAAUGUCUAGGAACGUGCCCAGUAGCGGGGGAUAACUCCGCGAAAGCGUCGCUAAUACCGCAUACUAUUGGAGCGGCCGCUUUCGGAUUAGCUAGUUGGUGGGGUAACGGCUUACCAAGGCGACGAUCCGUAGCUGGUCUGAGAGGACGACCCGCCAAACUGGGACUGAGACACGGCCCAGACUCCUACGGGAGGCAGCAGUGGGGAAUUUUGGACAAUGGGGGAAACCCUGAUCCAGCCAUGCCGCGUGUGCGAUGAAGGCCUUCGGGUUGUAAAGCACUUUUGGCAGGAAAGCGGUACCUGCAGAGUAAGCACCGGCUAACUACGUGCCAGCAGCCGCGGUAAUUC
rnacentral:rRNA from 1 species